UCGCCCAAAGCUCCGGCGCCCAAGGAUGGGACUGCGGCCUAUCAGGCUGUUGGUGGUGUAACGGACCACCAAACCUACGACGGGUACGGGCGAUGGGAGUCGGAGCCCGGAGAUGGGGACUGAGACAAGGCCCCAGGCCCUACGGGGCGCAGCAGGCGCGAAAACUCCGCAAUGCGCGCAAGCGUGACGGGGGGAUCCCAAGUGCCGUUGGUCUUUUGAUCGACGGCUUUUAGGAAGUUUAAGAAGCUUCCAGAAUAAGGGCUGGGUAAGACUGGUGCCAGCCGCCGCGGUAACACCAGCAGCCCAAGUGGUGGCCACGAUUAUUGGGCCUAAAGCGCUCGUAGCCGGGCUAGCAAGUCCCUUGUGAAAUCGGACCGCCUAACGGUUCGGCGUGCAAGGGAUACUGCUGGCCUUGAGGCCGGGAGAGGUUGGAGGUACUCCUGGGGUAGCGGUGAAAUGCUCUAAUCCUGGGGGGACCACCAGUGGCGAAGGCGUCCGACCAGAACGGACCUGACGGUGAGGGGCGAAGGCUAGGGGAGCGAACGGGAUUAGAUACCCCGGUAGUCCUAGCUGUAAAGCAUGCGGGCCAGGUGUCUAGUGCUCCUCGAGGGCACUAGGUGCCGGAGGGAAGCCGUUAAGCCCGCCGCCUGGGAAGUACGGCCGCAAGGCUGAAACUUAAAGGAAU
rnacentral:rRNA from 1 species